rnacentral:lncRNA from 1 species
GGAACUCCCUAGUUCUGUUAGUUACUGGGUGCCCCACCAACCUUUCCCCCCCACCUCACUAUGACGCAAACCUACGUCAUAACCAAGAUGACGUUUUUCCGUGAUAAGAAAAAACAAUAAUCCAGUUAAUGGCUGCCCACUACUUCCCGUCAUGGCUAUCCCUGGUACAUGGAAUAAGGCCGAGGAUGCGGAUUCGACAUGCACCGUCAGCAGGUGAAAUGCAGAAGACAGGAAGCGCCAGGUUCCCUCCAUACACGUUGUGUCCUUUGGCACUUUCCCCAGUAUUGUUAAAGAAAAUGCCUGCUGGACUGAA